rnacentral:rRNA from 1 species
CAUGGGAGUCGAACGCCCCCAGCCACGUGGGGGCGUGGCGUACGGCUCAGUAGCACACGGCUAAUCUACCCUUGGGAGGGGUAUAACCCCGGGAAACUGGGGCUAAUACCCCAUAGACGAGCAACCCUGGAACGGGUGCUCAUCGAAAGGGCGUGGGAGCAUGCUUCCACGUCGCCCAAGGAUGAGGCUGUGUUCCAUCAGGUAGUUGGCUAGGUAACGGCUCGCCAAGCCGAUAACGGAUGCGGGCAGUGAGAGCUGGAGCCCGGAGAUGGGCACUGAGACAAGGGCCCAGGCCCUACGGGGCGCACCAGGCGAGAAACCUUAGCAAUGCGGGAAACCGUGACUGGGCUAUCCCGAGUGCCAGCCGCUAAGGCUGGCUUUUCCCCAGAGUAAAAACCUGGGGGAAUAAGCGGGGGGCAAGACUGGUGUCAGCCGCCGCGGUAAUACCAGCUCCGCGAGUGGUCGGGACGAUUAUUGAGCCUAAAGCGCUCGUAGCCGGUCCGGUAAGUCCUGUGCUAAAUCCAACGGCUCAACCGUUGGGCCGCAUGGGAUACUGCCGGGCUAGGGAGCGGAAGAGGCCAGGGGUACUCCCGGGGUAGGGGCGAAAUCCCAUAAUCCCGGGAGGACGACCAGUGGCGAAGGCGCCUGGCUAGGACGCGUCCGACGGUGAGGGGCGAAAG